rnacentral:rRNA from 1 species
UACGUAGGGGGCAAGCGUUGUCCGGAAUCAUUGGGCGUAAAGAGCGCGUAGGCGGUCCGGUAAGUCCGCUCUGAAAGUCCGGGGCUCAACCCCGGGAGGCGGGCGGAUACUGUCGGGCUAGAGUCCGGAAGAGGCGAGUGGAAUUCCCGGUGUAGCGGUGAAAUGCGCAGAUAUCGGGAAGAACACCCGUGGCGAAGGCGGCUCUCUGGGACGGUACUGACGCUGAGACGCGAAAGCGUGGGGAGCGAACAGG